CUAGAUCCUGAUCCGAAGGGUUACACAAUAGUGCCUACUACAAUAAAUCCUGGUGAAGAGGCGCCUUUUGUUCUCUUUGUUUUUACUAAAGCUUCGAUAAGUCUUGAAACUUUAUAAUUUUGCAUGGAUGGCCCAUUUGGUUUGGGUUUGAGUUUGGUCAUCACUUGUGGGUCCUAAGCAUCUCCCCAAAGGGAUUCUGCAUGGACUAUCCCUAAUCAUUCACACGUGUCUGAGAGCUGGUUGAACGUUGCAGUAAAAAAACUCGAUAAGCAUAGAAAGAGGAGAAAGGAUGGUCUGUCCUUUGCGAAUGGAUGAAGCAAGCUAUCUUAUUCUGGGAAGUCCAUGGAUGGUAAAUGUCAUUUCUGCAUGGGUGCUGGAAGUCUCUAAAGCCAAUAGAAGGAAGAUGGUCCAUUGAUUCUAGUCUUCAGCUCUGAACAUGGUCUCGAAGAGGGUUCUCGGGUAUUAAAAUACUGUACAUGAGUAGAUGUAAGAAAAUAAGAUUUAGUUAUGUAAAUGAGGGUUAACCAAAAGGAAUAGAUGAAAAAAAAAAUAGGAAUAGAUGUGAGGGAUGCAUGUUGGAGUCCACCAUAUGGCUGAAAUAUCAAUUGAAGUUUCAGCAUCAGUUUUGAAGUUCUUGUAGACAUCACUUCAUUAAUUGUAAAAACCAAACAUUCUUACAUCAAUGGAAUUAACUAACACCUUU